UACAUAGGUCUCGAGCGUUGUUCGGAUUCAUUGGGCGUAAAGGGCGCGUAGGCGGCGGGGUAAGUCUGGUGUGAAAUCUCGGAGCUCAACUCCGAAAUUGCACUGGAUACUGCUCUGCUAGAGGGCUGGAGAGGAGAUCGGAAUUCACGGUGUAGCAGUGAAAUGCGUAGAUAUCGUGAGGAAGACCAGUGGCGAAGGCGGAUCUCUGGACAGCUCCUGACGCUGAGGCGCGAAGGCUAGGGGAGCAAACGGG
rnacentral:rRNA from 1 species